rnacentral:lncRNA from 1 species
AAAUUACAUUUUUUGAAAAUGAAUUACAUUUUUUUUACAAUAACAUUAUAUUUACAUUAAAAGUGUAAAUAAAGUACAAUUUUUUUUCUAUUUUUACAUAAAUUACUUUUUUUUUUAUAUAUUUACAUUAAAACUGUAAAUAAAUUAUAUUUUUUUUCUAUCUUACAUAAAUUAUAUUUUUUAUAUUUACAUUAAAAGUGUAAAUAAAUUACAUUUUU